UCGGACGGCCCAGAUGCGUCCUCGCGCGCACGGACGGCCCAGAUCAAGCAUGCGCACGGACGGCCCAGAUGCACGCGCACGGACGGCCCAGAUGCACGCACACGGAUGGCCUAGAUUCAAUCAAGUACGGACGGUCCAGAUUUAAUCGCGAUGGACGGUCCAGAUUUAAUCCAAAUUAAAUCGCGAUCGAACGACCCAGAUUAAAUCAAGAUGGACGGCUGUGAUUAAAAGGCAAAGGAUAUAAAUAAACCCCCC
rnacentral:lncRNA from 1 species